rnacentral:rRNA from 1 species
GACGUAGGGUGCGAGCGUUGUCCGGAUUUAUUGGGCGUAAAGAGCUCGUAGGCGGCUCGUCGCGUCGACCGUGAAAACCCGCGGCUUAACUGCGGGCUUGCGGUUGAUACGGGCGGGCUAGAGUUCGGUAGGGGAGACUGGAAUUCCUGGUGUAGCGGUGAAAUGCGCAGAUAUCAGGAGGAACACCGGUGGCGAAGGCGGGUCUCUGGGCCGAUACUGACGCUGAGGAGCGAAGGCGUGGGGAGCGAACAGG